rnacentral:tRNA from 1 species
UCCUUGUUAGUAUAUCGGUUCAGUACACGCGCCUGUCAUUCAUUGGUGCGCGCGAGAGCUGGGUUCGACUCCCAGACAGGGAG